ACGCUGGCGGCGUGCCUAAUACAUGCAAGUCGAGCGAACAGAUAAGGAGCUUGCUCCUUUGACGUUAGCGGCGGACGGGUGAGUAACACGUGGAUAACCUACCUAUAAGACUGGGAUAACUUCGGGAAACCGGAGCUAAUACCGGAUAAGAUUUUGAACCGCAUGGUUCAAUAGUGAAAGACGGCCUUGCUGUCACUUAUAGAUGGAUCCGCGCCGUAUUAGCUAGUUGGUAAGGUAACGGCUUACCAAGGCAACGAUACGUAGCCGACCUGAGAGGGUGAUCGGCCACACUGGAACUGAGACACGGUCCAGACUCCUACGGGAGGCAGCAGUAGGGAAUCUUCCGCAAUGGGCGAAAGCCUGACGGAGCAACGCCGCGUGAGUGAUGAAGGUCUUCGGAUCGUAAAACUCUGUUAUCAGGGAAGAACAAACGUGUAAGUAACUGUGCACGUCUUGACGGUACCUGAUCAGAAAGCCACGGCUAACUACGUGCCAGCAGCCGCGGUAAUACGUAGGUGGCAAGCGUUAUCCGGAAUUAUUGGGCGUAAAGCGCGCGUAGGCGGUUUUUUAAGUCUGAUGUGAAAGCCCACGGCUCAACCGUGGAGGGUCAUUGGAAACUGGAAAACUUGAGUGCAGAAGAGGAAAGUGGAAUUCCAUGUGUAGCGGUGAAAUGCGCAGAGAUAUGGAGGAACACCAGUGGCGAAGGCGACUUUCUGGUCUGUAACUGACGCUGAUGUGCGAAAGCGUGGGGAUCAAACAGGAUUAGAUACCCCUGGUAGUCCACGCCGUAAACGAUGAGUGCUAAGUGUUAGGGGGUUUCCGCCCCCUUAGUGCUGCAGCUAACGCAUUAAGCACUCCGCCUGGGGAGUAC
rnacentral:rRNA from 1 species